UAUGUGAUCGUCUCUUGCAUAUCAAUAAGCGGAGGAAAAGAAACUAACAAGGAUUCCCCUAGUAACGGCGAGUGAAGCGGGAAGAGCUCAAAUUUGAAAUCUUAAAGGGUUUCCCUUUACGAAUUGUAGUUUAAAGAAGUGUUUUCUGUUGAGGUUUUGGUAAAAGUUCUUUGGAAUAGGACAUCAUAGAGGGUGAGAAUCCCGUAUUUGACCUUUACUUUCAACUUUGUGAUACACUUUCAAAGAGUCGGAUUGUUUGGGAAUGCAGUCCAAAAUGGGUGGUAAAUUUCAUUUAAAGCUAAAUAUUGGCGAGAGACCGAUAGCGAACAAGUACCGUGAGGGAAAGAUGAAAAGAACUUUGAAAAGAGAGUUAAACAGUACGUGAAAUUGUCAAAAGGGAAGCGUUUGACACCAGUGUUGUUUUUCUGAAAAUCAAUUAAAGAACUGUUUAUGCUAAGCUGUUUAGACUUUAUCAGCUAUCUGUUUAGUUUUGAGCUUUUCUUUAAUGCACUUUUCAGUUAACAAGUCAACAUCAAUUUCUUUUGCUGUAAAAAAGCUUGAGGAAGGUGGCUUGAGAUUCGUCUUAAGUGUUUAUAGCCUCUUGCCUAUGCAGUCGGAGAGAUUGAGGUCUGCAGCGUAGAUCCUUCGGGGCUAAAUGCAUUUGUGCUAAGUUAUAACAUUUUAUAGACAACUUGUUGACUAUGAUUUGUCUUGUAGCUUACUCGCUUAUGUUAUUUUACCUACGCUUAGGAUGUUGAGUCGUAGAGCACGCAG
rnacentral:rRNA from 1 species